GACGAACGCUGGCGGCGUGCCUAAUACAUGCAAGUUGAGCGCUGAAGGUUGGUACUUGUACCAACUGGAUGAGCAGCGAACGGGUGAGUAACGCGUGGGGAAUCUGCCUUUGAGCGGGGGACAACAUUUGGAAACGAAUGCUAAUACCGCAUAAAAACUUUAAACACAAGUUUUAAGUUUGAAAGAUGCAAUUGCAUCACUCAAAGAUGAUCCCGCGUUGUAUUAGCUAGUUGGUGAGGUAAAGGCUCACCAAGGCGAUGAUACAUAGCCGACCUGAGAGGGUGGUCGGCCACAUUGGGACUGAGACACGGCCCAAUCUCCUACGGGAGGCAGCAGUAGGGAAUCUUCGGCAAUGGACGAAAGUCUGACCGAGCAACGCCGCGUGAGUGAAGAAGGUUGUCGGAUCGUAAAACUCUGUUGGUAGAGAAGAACGUUGGUGAGAGUGGAAAGCUCAUCAAGUGACGGUAACUACCCAGAAAGGGACGGCUAACUACGUG
rnacentral:rRNA from 1 species